CGAAAAAAAAAACGGUUGUGCCGAAUUAAUACGACUGAAAUUUAUUUGAAUUUAAAAUAUAAUAUUCAACAAUUAUUAUUAAUGUGUCGACCGUCAUCGAUGAACGGUACGUUUUGAUAGGACAAUAUUACAAUCGACGGGACGAUGAACGGCCAAAAAAAAAUAAUCGUUUUUGUUUUUUUAUAUCGUUCGAGUCGAAAAACGUUCACUCUCUGACCGGUUAUUUCGAUAAAAGCUUAAAUUUUAGCGACAUAAUUUACUAAUGAUUUUAUUAUUAUUAUUUUUUUUUUUGUUACUUUUUAUAUCGAUCACUAUCUUUGCGAUAAUUUUUCACCUAAAAGUGCCGUAGUGACAAGUCUCUGGUAAACUUUUAAUAGUAGUGGAUAAUUUAUUAUCAACGAUAAAACUAAACUCGAACAUCGGUUUAUAAUGUAGCCGCACACGGAAAAUGUCGUAUAACAGGUGUCACACCGCUGUCCACAAGAAAAAAUUUAGAGAAAAAAAACUAUAAUUAUAACUUUCGGCUUUGGCAUCAUUACUAUAGCACCUAAUAAGACUAACGAAAUAAUAUCAUCGCAAUGCACAAGCUCACCCGAAUUGGCAGCG